UCAGUGGUUUUACUAAAAACCACUGAACAUGUCCUUUGACUUUUUUG
rfam:Xiphophorus maculatus strain JP 163 A Contig140.58, whole genome shotgun sequence.